GGUCGCUUAGCUCAGCUGGAUAGAGUGUCGCCCUCCGAAGGCGAAGGUCACAGGUUCGAAUCCUGUAGCGACCGCCA
rnacentral:tRNA from 2 species